UACCCUUUCAUUUGAGAAUGCGCUGUUAAGUGAUCUGAGGUCACACACUUGAAAAGAAGUAGAAAUUGGGCAUUUGCAGGUUUUCUGACAGUGCAGCACCCAUUUCCACCCCACCCCGCCACAAAAAGAUACCACCUUGCAAGAAGUAUUCUAGUCAACUCCAGCGUGCCACUGGAAAGGGAUCUGUGGCAUGAGUCUUAAAAUAAUCAUUUCAAUCUACAUGUUGUAUUUUGAGAGAGCUUCUUUGUUUCAUCUUAGACUAAUUAAAUUGUUUUGCAUUUUUCAUGCACAUACAAGGAGAUGCAAAUGAAUGUCGUGAGAGAAUAAAACCAGCCGAGUAUAGGAUAUGCAGCAAUUCAUCCAUCUUCUAAAUAAGAUGAGAAAACUGAACCCUAAAGAGAUUAAGACACUUGCCCAAGAUGAUGUAAUGAAUAUGUGGUGGAACUCAACUCAAAGCAAGGCUGUCUGCAUGCAGAGCCUGUGCUCUUGGCGUCUACCCUUUGCUACUUCCCAUGUCGUGAGACAUCUCACAUAAGUCUGGGCUUAUUUUUAACUCCUCGAAGGAGCACUGCCAAGACCACUGGCCCAGUGGUGCUGAGGGCCUGGACAGCAGAGAAGGCCAAAGUGGCCAGCAGGAAGGAGCAUGAAGAAUCCGUAUCCCAAGCCCUCGGACAACAGUCCUUGUUUGAUGCUGGUCUACAAAGUAAUUACAAGUUCACUUUGAUUUCAAAUGUACCAGAGAAGCUUAUCAUUUAAAGAAUUUCAA